rnacentral:lncRNA from 10 species
GAGACUGGCUGAGUCUUCUGGUCUUCAUCUUUCUCCCAUGCUGGAUGCUUCCUGCCCUUGAACAUUGGACUGCAAGUUCUUUAGCUUUUGGACGUUUGGACUUACACCAGUGGUUUGCCAGGGGCUCUCAGACCUUCUGCCACAGACUGAAGGCUGCACUUUCAGCUUCCCUACUUUUGAGGUUUUGGAACUCGGACUGGCUUUCUUGCUCCGCAGCUUGCAGGUGGCCUGUUAUGGGACUUUACCUUGUGGAUCAUAAUCAAGAAAAACUUUUUUUUAAGCUACUUGUAGCUUUUCACAAUUGAGUAAGGUAUACUCCUGUAAACAAAAUUUGGAGCACAUUCGUCUCUCUCUACCUGAUUUCUCCAGAAUUUGAAAACUAGUUGACAACUUUGUGCCCUGUCUUCCAGUUUAACAUGGAGCUUUCAGUCUGUAAUGCAGAGGAUCCUCUAGGGUAUAACUCCACAAGGCAGAAGACAAGUUUACUGUGGACAAAAAAAUGGGCUAGAAUGUCUUCAGCUUCUCAGGCCCUUAAUAGGGCUGAUGAUGGAUGACUCUACUGGAGAAAAGGAAGACAAAGAGGUUUCAGAUCAUCAAUAAAGCAGCUGACUCUCAAGAAAUGGCUGGAAAUCAUAUUUAAAGUCGAUCUUAAAUGAAUUUGAAAAAAAUGCACAUAAAGAUCGUUACCUGCCUCGUUUGGACAUAUCAGACCUAUG